GCCAAGUGGGAUAGCUCAGUUGGUACAGCAUGAGGCUCUUACUUUCAGGGUUGUGGGUUCAAGCCCCACGUUGGGCA